ACGGGACCCGCACAAGCAGCGGAGCAUGUGGUUUAAUUCGAAGCAACGCGAAGAACCUUACCAGGUCUUGACAUCCUCUGACAAUCUGAGAGAUCAGACUUUCCCUUCGGGGACAGAGAGACAGGUGGUGCAUGGUUGUCGUCAGCUCGUGUCGUGAGAUGUUGGGUUAAGUCCCGCAACGAGCGCAACCCCUACGUUUAGUUGCUAACGCGUGAAGGCGAGCACUCUAGACGAACUGCCGUUGACAAAACGGAGGAAGGUGGGGAUGACGUCAAAUCAUCAUGCCCCUUAUGACCUGGGCUACACACGUGCUACAAUGGUUGGUACAACGAGUUGCGAGUCGGUGACGGCGAGCUAAUCUCUUAAAGCCAAUCUCAGUUCGGAUUGUAGGCUGCAACUCGCCUACAUGAAGUCGGAAUCGCUAGUAAUCGCGGAUCAGCACGCCGCGGUGAAUACGUUCCCGGGCCUU
rnacentral:rRNA from 1 species